ACGCUGGUAGUAUAAUGGAAGUACGACGGUCUCCAAAACCGUUUGUCGAGGUUCGAGUCCUUGCCUGCGUG
rnacentral:tRNA from 1 species